GCCUGGUUAGCUUAGUGGGUAGAACAGCUGCCUUGUAAGCUCUAGGUCGUGGGUUCGAUUCCCGCCCGGGGUG
rnacentral:tRNA from 1 species